rnacentral:sRNA from 1 species
GAGAUGGAGUCUCGCCCUGUUGCCCAGGCUGGAGUGCAGUGGCGUGAUCUUGGCUCGCUGCAUCCUCUGCCUCCUGGGUUCAAACGAUUCUCCUACGUCAGCCUCCCAAGUAGCUGGGAUUACAGGUGCCCGCCACUAUGCCCAGCUAUUUUUUUGUAUUUUUAGUAGAGACGGGGUUUUACCAUAUUGGCCAGGCUGGUCUUGAACUCCUGACCUUGUGAUCCGCCCGCCUAGGCCUCCCAAAGUGCUGGGAUUACAGGCGUGAGCCAUCACACCCUGUCAAGGUGUCAUUUUGUAUCAAUCUUUUUGUUACAGGACUUACCAGCCUGGCCUCUAUUUAGUAAACAUGUGUUGACUGAAUGAAUUUCCAGGGUAAGAUAUUUCUCAUACCCUAUCUCUUUCUCCUAUAAAGUUCAAAAUGAUUUUAGUCAUAUAGAUACUUUAUGUAAUAUACUAUGCCAAACUGACUAGUGACUGGCAUAAGAACAAUUAUAUAAAGAAAGGCCAGCGUGGAUGCGGGAGCCAGACCGCGUGGAUUCGAAUCCCUCAUUCCUGGCUGUGUGACCUGGGCUGGUUUCUUAGGCUCUGUGUGCCUCACGCUCUUCAUCUGUCAAGUUCCUUCUAGGGUGGCGGCGAAGAUUGAAAUCUUUAGUACACGUAAAGGACUUCAAAGGGCACAGAGUAAGCCCUCCGUGUGUGUGAGGUGCCAUGUCCCAGUGCCCCAGGCUGGUCCUGGGGUGCUAAAGAGGAAUGUGCUGUUACAGGAAUCAUUGACCUUCAAGGACGUGUUUGUGGACUUCACCCUGGAGGAGUGGCAGCAACUGGACUCUGCCCAGAAGAACCUCUACAGGGAUGUCAUGCUUGAGAACUACAGUCACCUGGUGUCCGUGGGGUAUCUAGUUGCGAAGCCAGAUGUGAUCUUCAGGUUGGGACCAGGUGAAGAGUCCUGGAUGGCAGAUGGAGGGACCCCGGUACGGACCUGUGCAGGUGAGGACAGGCCAGGUGAGUCAGGCCAGGGAAAAGGGACCAGGUUGGUUGGUGAGAUCUUGGCCUCUGGGAUGUGCUCAGGAGCCCUUCUCAGAGCCUCAGACUUGUGGACAUGCCUAGGCUCUGAUGAGCGGAACUGUUGUCAUGUCCAAAUGAGGCUUCUGCCUGGCCGCCGGUUACAGUCUCUGUGUUCUUUGCUUGGCAUUCACAUAGAUUGUGGCCACUCUUGUUCUGAGAUCCCAUUUCUACCUUCCAACCUCCUGGCUUGUUAGUGAGAAGUGCCAAGCCCCUUCUCAUUCCUCUCACCCUGUCCUUUCUGGAAGCUUUUAGAACUUUUUCUCCCUUCUUGUGCUUAUGUAUUUUUACCAGACUAGAUGCAAAUGUCAGCAUUUCCUCUUUACUUGGCAUACUGUGGGCCCUUUCAGGCUGAAAGUUGGAGUCUUUUUUUUUUUAGACUCAAGGAAAUUAUCAUACAUUAUUUUUUGGAGUUGGUAUAGGCAACAAAGCUUUGCUAGUGACCUUUACUCUACCCAGCCUGGUACCCACCAUGUUCUUGCCUGCUCUUAUUUUGUUGUAAACACUGUAAACCUCACACUGUUUUCUAUUUUCUCUUUGUAUUCCUUC